UACGUAGGGUGCGAGCGUUGUCCGGAAUUAUUGGGCGUAAAGAGCUUGUAGGCGGUUUGUCGCGUCUGCUGUGAAAAUCCGGGGCUCAACCCCGGACUUGCAGUGGGUACGGGCAGACUAGAGUGUGGUAGGGGAGACUGGAAUUCCUGGUGUAGCGGUGAAAUGCGCAGAUAUCAGGAGGAACACCGAUGGCGAAGGCAGGUCUCUGGGCAUUAACUGACGCUGAGGAGCGAAAGCAUGGG
rnacentral:rRNA from 1 species